rnacentral:rRNA from 1 species
GACGAACGCUGGCGGCGUGCCUAAUACAUGCAAGUAGAACGCUGAAGAGAGGAGCUUGCUCUUCUUGGAAGAGUUGCGAACGGGUGAGUAACGCGUAGGUAACCUGCCUUGUAGCGGGGGAUAACUAUUGGAAACGAUAGCUAAUACCGCAUAACAAUGGGUGACCCAUGUCAUUCAUUUGAAAGGGGCAACUGCUCCACUACAAGAUGGACCUGCGUUGUAUUAGCUAGUAGGUGAGGUAACGGCUCACCUAGGCGACGAUACAUAGCCGACCUGAGAGGGUGAUCGGCCACACUGGGACUGAGACACGGCCCAGACUCCUACGGGAGGCAGCAGUAGGGAAUCUUCGGCAAUGGGGGCAACCCUGACCGAGCAACGCCGCGUGAGUGAAGAAGGUUUUCGGAUCGUAAAGCUCUGUUGUAAGUCAAGAACGAGUGUGAGAGUGGAAAGUUCACACUGUGACGGUAGCUUACCAGAAAGGGACGGCUAACUACGUGCCAGCAGCCGCGGUAAUACGUAGGUCCCGAGCGUUGUCCGGAUUUACUGGGCGUAAAGCGAGCGCAGGCGGUUUGAUAAGUCUGAAGUUAAAGGCUGUGGCUCAACCAUAGUUCGCUUUGGAAACUGUCAAACUUGAGUGCAGAAGGGGAGAGUGGAAUUCCAUGUGUAGCGGUGAAAUGCGUAGAUAUAUGGAGGAACACCGGUGGCGAAAGCGGCUCUCUGGUCUGUAACUGACGCUGAGGCUCGAAAGCGUGGGGAGCGAACAGG